rnacentral:rRNA from 1 species
GAACGCUAGCUACAGGCUUAACACAUGCAAGUCGAGGGGCAGCAUUACGGUAGCUUGCUACUGUAGAUGGCGACCGGCGCACGGGUGAGUAACGCGUAUCCAACCUGCCCAUGACUUGGGGAUAACCUUGCGAAAGCAAGCCUAAUGCCCAAUGACAUUGAGUGCGGACAUCUAAUCUCAAUUAAAGAUUUAUCGGUGAUGGAUGGGGAUGCGUCCGAUUAGCUUGUUGGCGGGGUAACGGCCCACCAAGGCAACGAUCGGUAGGGGUUCUGAGAGGAAGGUCCCCCACAUUGGAACUGAGACACGGUCCAAACUCCUACGGGAGGCAGCAGUGAGGAAUAUUGGUCAAUGGGCGAGAGCCUGAACCAGCCAAGUAGCGUGCAGGAUGACGGCCCUAUGGGUUGUAAACUGCUUUUAUAAGGGAAUAAAGUGGGGCUCGUGAGCUCUUUUGCAUGUACCUUAUGAAUAAGGACCGGCUAAUUCCGUG